UCUAUCUCAUUUGGGUUGCUCUUUGCAGUAGGUCGUUUUUUGUCACAUUGUAUAUAUGUUUGUGGACACGUGUUCUUUCACACGUAUGUUGACACCUGUCAUCCGCGGCAACUACUCAGUUCCAACGUUUCCUUCACCGCCUCUUAACCCAAUGACUCAGACUUAAAACCACCUCACUGCCGAUUGUACCCUCCGCUUCAUCUCCAUCUUCUCCAAAUCCUCGAUUACAGUUGGUGAUGUCGUCUAGGCCCAAAUUUGACAUCCAAUUGCUCCGAUUUGAAUUAUCUAGACCCGACAAGGAAGAAAACCAUAACGGUCCCGCAGCUGUAAGUGCCCGCUGUCCGCUUUCCCACCCCGGCUCCAUAUGGUACGCUGAUUGUCGAACUUUCUCUGCUUCUUAAUGUGCAUCGCAAUCCAUUCGCCCUGAUGUUUCUCUAGAAAAUAACGCCCAAGAUAGAUAGACUGGACGAGGUCGAAAGGGAAGCAGGAAAAAACAGCAACGCACAUCGGCGCUGGUGAUGGUGGUGCUCCCUAUCUGUCUUCCUCUGUUAAUAGAAGCGACACCUCUUCAAAGCCAAAACUCUGUCAUCAUCAACACCGCAAUCAAUGGGGUACUCUCACUGCUCUCUUUGUCUAUCUAUACUCUGUACAAAUAAUCGAUUUCUCCCAAAUCUCUUUGCUUCCGAUUUUCCUUUAUCUUCUAUUCUUAAGAGGAGAUUCAGAUUCGUCGGAUCAUGAAUCCGACUUCCAAAAUUCCAGGUUCGAUUUGUUUAUAUUUUGUUUAAGAAUUGUUCUUGGAAUUAUCUAUAUACGUUUGUUUGUAAAGUAUUGUGAAAUUGUCAAUUUUUUGGUGAUGAAAUACAUUAACCUCUCAUGGAAAACAAAUGUUUUCUUAGAAAAUUUUUAUGAUGUUUUGGUUUUCUGCUGAACAGAAUCAUCAAUUUUCACGAUCUGGGAAAGAUGAAUUUAAUUUAGGUGCAUGAAUCAAGCUAUUGUGUGCUUUCGGUAAAGCUAUGGGCUUUUUUAUCCGUAUUUGAUCUGGUUUAUCAUUUUUUUUUUGUUCUUAUUUAUGGUCUAUUUAACCGACUUGCAUUUAUUUUUGAUAAAUUUUCAAUUGUUGGUACUAUUUGGCUCUGUUGUUUGACAGCAACUAAGUUAAGGUACCUGGUCUGCAAACUUCAAUGUUAUAUGUUACUUUUUUUACUAACGGAAUGGACACAAAAGGCAAAUUCUGACUUUUAUGGACAAAUAGGUGAUAUUUCAACUCAAUUUUGACUUAAAUUGUAAAAUUUACCGGUAUAUUUUGCCUGACAAAGUGAUGAAUUUUCAUGUCAUUUUCAAUCUAAAUAUAAAAAAAUGAAGAAAAGUAUCAUGCAUGUUGUAUUCACAAUGAAUAUAUGUUUAAUUUUUUUUUUUUUACCUUAAUCAUUUUUUUUCUCUUCCUUUUUGAUUUUUUUCAUACAUAAGAACUUUGGCUUCUACUUUUUCAAUUCCAAGGUCAUAUAUGUCUACAUAUUUUACAAUUUUCCCAUUGUAUCCGAAAUAUAAGAUUUGAUGAGCAAAAACACUAGAUAAUCAUUAACCUUUUGGUAAGUAAUCCAAUCUUUAUCGUUUUCUUAUUAAUUUGGAGGGUUAAAAUUUGAAGAAUUACAUGGUCUACAAGCUUUGCAAAUGCCUGUUAUUUUUUUAUUCUUUUUUGUUUUUUACUUUAUGGAUUUGAAGUAUAAUUAAAUAAAAAUACCCUUUUUAUUACCAACAAAUGGAAAUGAACUCAUUUUAUAUCACGAAUGGAAAUGAAGCUGUAUGUAGGUGCAGUGUGGUAAGGAGGAUAAAAUUGGCAUUGCUAUGGUGUCUUCAAUUACCGGUUGAAUGGACUUUCACUUUGUCACCUUUGGAGGCUUCAAGGUGCAAGAGUUAUAUAUAGGGCAAUAUGGCUUUUUUUCUGGUGGAUAAUUAUCUUAAGGAGGUUACCUAUCAAGAGUAGAGUACUUUGAAAAGGGUGAAGGAAAUUCCAACAUACAAAAAAACUCAAAUCUCCAAGGGCAAAAUGGUCAAUCACCAGAAAAACCUCAAAACCCGAGUUAUAUUUUGAUGAACCAAUUAGAGGUUCUUUUAUUGGGAAUUCAUGUUAAGGUGAAUGAUAUGUCACCAUAGAUCCACAUAUUGUUUUUCUCAUUAUGUGUUUCAAGUCGAUGCUUAUUGCCUCCCCUGUUGGUUUACUUAUUUUGAAUGUAUCUCACCUUUAUUUGUACAAUAACAAACAUUUAUAUUUUGAUGAUUCUGUUGAAUUUUAUGUGAAA